rnacentral:rRNA from 1 species
AGAGCGAACGCUGGCGGCAGGCCUAAAACAUGCAAGUCGAACGGACCCUUCGGGGUUAGUGGCGGACGGGUGAGUAACACGUGGGAACGUGCCUUUUGGUUCAGAACAACUCAGGGAAACUUGAGCUAAUACUGAAUAAGCCCUACGGGGGAAAGAUUUAUCGCCAUUAGAGCGGCCCGCGUUGGAUUAGCUAGUUGGUGAGGUAAAGGCUCACCAAGGCUACGAUCCAUAGCUGGUCUGAGAGGAUGAUCAGCCACACUGGGACUGAGACACGGCCCAGACUCCUACGGGAGGCAGCAGUUAGGAAUCUUGCGCAAUGGGCGAAAGCCUGACGCAGCCAUGCCGCGUGAAUGAUGAAGGUCUUAGGAUUGUAAAAUUCUUUCAGCGGGAAGAUAAUGACUGUACCCGCAGAAGAAGCUCCGGCUAACUUCGUGCCAGCACGCCGC